UUGAACGCUGGCGGCAGGCCUAACACAUGCAAGUCGAGCGGAUGAAGGGAGCUUGCUCCUGGAUUCAGCGGCGGACGGGUGAGUAAUGCCUAGGAAUCUGCCUGGUAGUGGGGGAUAACGUCCGGAAACGGGCGCUAAUACCGCAUACGUCCUGAGGGAGAAAGUGGGGGAUCUUCGGACCUCACGCUACCAGAUGAGCCUAGGUCGGAUUAGCUAGUUGGUGGGGUAAAGGCCUACCAAGGCGACGAUCCGUAACUGGUCUGAGAGGAUGAUCAGUCACACUGGAACUGAGACACGGUCCAGACUCCUACGGGAGGCAGCAGUGGGGAAUAUUGGACAAUGGGCGAAAGCCUGAUCCAGCCAUGCCGCGUGUGUGAAGAAGGUCUUCGGAUUGUAAAGCACUUUAAGUUGGGAGGAAGGGCAGUAAGUUAAUACCUUGCUGUUUUGACGUUACCAACAGAAUAAGCACCGGCUAACUUCGUG
rnacentral:rRNA from 1 species